UACAGAGGGUGCGAGCGUGUUCGGAAUUAUUGGGCGUAAAGGGCGCGUAGGCGGUGCGGUAAGUCACCUGUGAAAUCUCCUGGCUCAACUGGGAGCUUGCAGGCGAAACUGCCGUGCUGGAGUGUGGGAGAGGUGCGUGGAAUUCCUGGUGUAGCGGUGAAAUGCGUAGAUAUCAGGAGGAACACCUGUGGCGAAAGCGGCGCACUGGACCACAACUGACGCUGAGGCGCGAAAGCUAGGGGAGCAAACAGG
rnacentral:rRNA from 1 species